rnacentral:rRNA from 1 species
GACGUAGGGCGCGAGCGUUGUCCGGAAUUAUUGGGCGUAAAGAGCUCGUAGGCGGUUUGUCGCGUCUGCUGUGAAAACCCGAGGCUCAACCUCGGGCCUGCAGUGGAUACGGGCAGACUAGAGUGCGGUAGGGGAGAUUGGAAUUCCUGGUGUAGCGGUGGAAUGCGCAGAUAUCAGGAGGAACACCAAUGGCGAAGGCAGAUCUCUGGGCCGUAACUGACGCUGAGGAGCGAAAGCAUGGGGAGCGAACAGG